GACGUAGGGCGCGAGCGUUGUCCGGAUUUAUUGGGCGUAAAGAGCUCGUAGGCGGCUUGUCGCGUCGACCGUGAAAACUUGGGGCUCAACCCCAAGCCUGCGGUCGAUACGGGCAGGCUAGAGUUCGGUAGGGGAGACUGGAAUUCCUGGUGUAGCGGUGAAAUGCGCAGAUAUCAGGAGGAACACCGAUGGCGAAGGCAGAUCUCUGGGCCGUAACUGACGCUGAGGAGCGAAAGCAUGGGGAGCGAACAGG
rnacentral:rRNA from 1 species